AUUGAACGCUGGCGGCAGGCCUAACACAUGCAAGUCGAGCGGAUGAAGGGAGCUUGCUCCUGGAUUCAGCGGCGGACGGGUGAGUAAUGCCUAGGAAUCUGCCUGGUAGUGGGGGAUAACGUCCGGAAACGGGCGCUAAUACCGCAUACGUCCUGAGGGAGAAAGUGGGGGAUCUUCGGACCUCACGCUAUCAGAUGAGCCUAGGUCGGAUUAGCUAGUUGGUGGGGUAAAGGCCUACCAAGGCGACGAUCCGUAACUGGUCUGAGAGGAUGAUCAGUCACACUGGAACUGAGACACGGUCCAGACUCCUACGGGAGGCAGCAGUGGGGAAUAUUGGACAAUGGGCGAAAGCCUGAUCCAGCCAUGCCGCGUGUGUGAAGAAGGUCUUCGCAUUGUAAAGCACUUUAAGUUGGGAGGAAGGGCAGUAAGUUAAUACCUUGCUGUUUUGACGUUACCAACAGAAUAAGCACCGGCUAACUUCGUG
rnacentral:rRNA from 1 species